GCCUGUUUAUCAAAAACAUGUCUUUUAGUAAUUAAGUUAAAGUCUAACCUGCCCACUGAUAUAUUAAAUGGCCGCAGUAUUUUAACUGUGCAAAGGUAGCAUAAUCAUUAGUCUUUUAAUUGAAGGCUAGUAUGAAUGGUUGAACGAAAUAUUAACUGUUUCAUAUAAAUUAAAUAGAAUUUUAUUUUUUAGUUAAAAAGCUAAAAUAUAAUUAAAAGACGAGAAGACCCUAUAGAUCUUUAUAGUUUACAUAUAUUUUUUAUUUAGUAUUAUUUUAAUAUUAUAUUUAAAUAUAUUUUAUUGGGGUGAUAGUAAAAUUUAAAUAACUUUUAUAUUUUUAAUACAUUAAUUUAUGAUUAAUUGAUCCAUUUUUAUUGAUUAUUAAAUUAAGUUACCUUAGGGAUAACAGCGUAAUUUUUUUAGAGAGUUCAUAUCGAUAAAAAAUAUUGCGACCUCGAUGUUGGAUUAAGAUAUUAGUUUAGGAGUAGAAAUUUAAAUAAUAGGUCUGUUCGACCUUUAAAAUCUUACAUGAUCUGAGUUCAAACC
rnacentral:rRNA from 1 species